AUGGCUGUUAGUGGUCAGUCUUUGACCUCCUCAGAUUCUGUGGUGAAAAAGCCUGGAGACUCAGUGACUCUGUCCUGCUCCGUGUCUGGAAUCUCAAUGACUUAUUACUGGUUGCACUGGAUUCGUCAGAGACCAGGGAAAGGACUGGAGUGGAUUGGGCGUAUUGAUGGUGGCACUAGCACUGUUUUUGCUCAGUCUCUACAGGGCCAGUUCUCCAUCACUAAAGACACCAGCAAAAACAUGCUGUAUUUAGAGGUGAAAAGCCUGAAGACUGACGACACAGCUGUUUAUUACUGUGUGAGAGAUACACAGUUAGACAAAAGAUAG